rnacentral:lncRNA from 1 species
CUCACAGUGAGGCAUAUUUAGUCAAAGACAAAGUAGAAUGAUUCUGGAAGUCUUGUACUUGCUCUGAAUGAAAGGAAUCCCCUAUGUCCUGAAGUUACCUAGUUAGGGAAUUUGUGCUUCCACACCAAGUCUAGUGCAUUUCUAAUUGGUAGAGGGAGCUGGGCACCUGGUUUAGGGAAGAUAGAGGAAGGGCCUACUUGUUCACACAUUUACUGUAGGGGUGUUUACAGCUUACUGAAUGUCCUAUUUAGGGUUUUGAAACCACGUUAGGAAAGUCACGGGAAUAGCAACUUCUUAAAAUAGUGUAGAAAUAGGACUGAGCCAAACUUAGGCUAAAGAUGGGAAAAGUGAAUCUUAUUUUAACAUUUCGUGUGUGUACAUUGAACAAACACAUGCGUUUGUUUGCUGCUGUAGGCCUGAAGUGACUUUGGGUGUGAAGGAGAUUCCUGGAAAGAAGUCAGAACUUGAAGUUUCUGCAGGAGUGAUUAGCUGAUUAAAACUUCAGUGACUGGGGAGAAAUUAUAAUGUUGUGGACUGAUGAAUGAAUAAUCAUAUGCUGAAGGGAACAGGAAGUACUUGUGUUUAGAAAGAAAAAUAAUUGUAGCAAAUGCUAAAUAUUUCAAAGGAGUCUUAGUAUCUCUGAGAUAAUUGAGGCCUUUGAGAAAUACAAAAGAAGAGCUGAAGAGCAAAGAAACAAGCAGAAGAAAAGAGAACUCCCCAUUCCCCCAGUCAAAGAGUUACAACCCUGCAGGACCUUUUCACAGGAAAGCAGCAGCUCUCUCUCAAUUUGUCUUCAGAGGUAUGGGUGAUGUUUAUGUGCCGUGUCAUAGACUGUAGCUACUUCUUAUGUGUCUCCUGGUGACCAUGAUGUUUUCUCUCAUCUUCUUCAUCUCCACAAAAUCGAUCCUGCUAAUUCCGAUUUCCCUACAGUCAUCUGUACAAAUGGACUUUACCUUCUGGCCUUUUAUUCUUUCUCAGAACCAGACUUCCAAUAUCAAUAAGAGGUCUUACAAGAACAAAGUUACUCUACCCAGUUGAGUAAAGUUCCUCCUUUCUGAUUCUUUGUGAUCUUCAGCAGGCAUCUUGUUGUUAGUGUGCAAACCUCCACAGCGCAGCUGUAAGAGGAAGGUAACACUGCCAGCAUUCAAGUCUUUAUCUGGGUAAAUCCCUUGCUAACCUAUAAACGUUGGUAUGUAAUUAAACUGAUUUUGUAUCAAAUGUAUACACAAGUCAGAUUUGGUACAUAGGCUACAAAUAUUUUAACUUUUCUGGUUGAAGGUUACAAAUGGCUAUGUAAGUCCAGGAGAUGAAGAGAAAGAGAUAAGAUCUUUAAAUGUGGCUCCCUCUAAGAGACGGAAAGGGAAAAACUAUGUGAUUUAAUUGAUGUUCUUCCA